GACCGAAAAGCUAGCCCGCCCCUUCUAUCAAAAGCCGCAUCUAACUGACAUUUAAUGAAUUUAACGCACAAAUUAAACCAUUCUUCGACCCUAGUAUGGGAGACAGAAAAGGAACGAGGAGCUAUAGAGAAAGUACCGCAAGGGAAAGCUGAAAAAGAACUGAAACAAAUCAGUCAAGUCACUUAAAGCAAAGACUAAAACUUGUACCUUUUGCAUCAUGAAUUAGCUAGUCCCACCAGGCAAAAGGCACUAUAGUCUGGACCCCCGAAACUUAAUGAGCUACUUCAGGACAGCCUUCGACUGGGCAAACCCGUCUCUGUGGCAAAAGAGUGGGAAGAUCCUUAAGUAGCGGUGACAGACCUAUCGAAUUAAGUUAUAGCUGGUUGCUCAUGAAAUGAAUAGAAGUUCAGCCUUUAUCUUUCUAAAGACAAGCCUAGCACUUCUUGACACCGUUUAAUAGAAUGAUAAAGAGUUAAUCAAACAGGGUACAGCCUUUUUGAUAAAAGACACAACUUUACUAGGAGGAUAAGGAUCAUAUCCAUUAAGACAUCUAUGCCCAGGUGGGCCUAAAAGCAGCCACCCUAGAUAAUAGCGUUAAAGCUUAAGCAUAAUUUACGCCUACAAUAACGACACCUAAUCCCAAUCCCCUUAUAUCAGUGAGCCGCUUCAUAUAAUGAAAGAGAUUCUGCUAGUAUGAGUAAUAAGAGGUCCCUGAGCCUCUCCACGCUCACGUGUACAUCGGAACGAACCAAUCGCCGAAUAUUAACGACCCCAAGAAAAGAGGGCUAAGCCGGACUAUACAACUAACAAGAAGGCCCCGGCACCUUAAUCGUUAACCCCACACAGGAGUGCACCCUUGGAAAGAUAAAAAGGAGGAAAAGGAACUCGGCAAACAUGUCUUAGCCUCGCCUGUUUACCAAAAACAUCGCCUCUUGAAAAGUACUAAUGAGAGGUCCCGCCUGCCCUGUGACUCUAACGUUUAACGGCCGCGGUAUUUUGACCGUGCAAAGGUAGCGCAAUCACUUGCCUUUUAAAUGAAGGCCCGUAUGAAUGGCAUAACGAGGGCUUAACUGUCUCUUUCUCCCUAUCAAUGAAAUUGAUCUCCCCGUGCAGAAGCGAGGAUAAGAACAUAAGACGAGAAGACCCUGUGGAGCUUUAGACCAUGACUAGACCAUGUUAAGGAUUAUAAACACAAACCUCAAACAAAUUGGGAGCUACUCUAAUGUCUUUGGUUGGGGCGACCGCGGGGAAAUAAAUAACCCCCAUGUGGAUUAGGAACACACAUUCUUAAAACUAAGAGCCACCACUCUAAGAGUCAGAACAUCUGGCCUUGUGAUCCGGACAUCCGAUCAACGAACCUAGUUACCCCAGGGAUAACAGCGCAAUCCUCUUUUAGAGCCCAUAUCGACAAGGGGGUUUACGACCUCGAUGUUGGAUCAGGACAUCCUAAUGGUGCAGCCGCUAUUAAGGGUUUGUUUGUUCAACAAUUAAAGUCCUACGUGAUCUGAGUUCAGACCGGAGUAAUCCAGGUCAGUUUCUAUCUAUGAAGUCCCCCCUUCUAGUACGAAAGGACCGAAGAGGGAAGGCCCCUGGACCCCCACGCCUUGAUCCCACCUAAUGAAAAAAGCUAAAUAAGGUAAGAGAUUACACCCUGUAAUCAUAGAGUAUGAUAU
rnacentral:rRNA from 1 species